UACAGAGGUCCCGAGCGUUGUUCGGAUUCACUGGGCGUAAAGGGUGCGUAGGCGGCGCGGUAAGUCGGGUGUGAAAUCUUGGAGCUUAACUCCGAAACUGCAUUCGAUACUGCCGUGCUUGAGGACUGGAGAGGAGACUGGAAUUUACGGUGUAGCGGUGAAAUGCGUAGAUAUCGUAAGGAAGACCAGUGGCGAAGGCGGGUCUCUGGACAGUUCCUGACGCUGAGGCACGAAGGCCAGGGGAGCAAACGGG
rnacentral:rRNA from 1 species